UAACCUGAUCAGCCCCGGAGUU
rnacentral:miRNA from 1 species